GGCUGGUUAGCUCAGUCAGUUGAGCGUGGCACUAACAAUGUCAAGGUUGCAGGUUUGAUACCCGUUCAGUCC
rnacentral:tRNA from 1 species